AAUAAUAAUAAUAAUAAUAAAUAUCUAUCUUCUCUUAAUCAAUUAUCACUAUAUAAUACUGACCAUAAAAAAAAAGUCAUAAAUAAAUUAAAGUAUUCAGUAAAAUCAAACGAAUUUACAAAAAAUGAAUUACUCGAGACGAAUCAUAGGAAGGGUAUAUAUACCCCUGGUCAUAAUAAAAAUGGAAUAAUUAAAAAACAGGAUAGUCAGGAUGAGAGUGACUAUAAGCAUGAUCAUAAGCAUAAGAAUAAACAUAAACAUAAGCAUAAACAUAUGCAUGACCACAAACGUGAGCAAAUAAAAAAUGAUAGUGUCCAUACAAAUUAUAACAAUAUUUUAGAUAUAUUUCAACAUAACUAUAUAUCACAUAAUUAUAAAGAUAAAAAUUUGAAUAGAUACAAAAAUAAACAGGAAAUUUUGAAAGAACGUAAAAAGUGCAAAAAACGUAAAGGACGUAAACAAGUAGAAGGUAAGGAUAAUAUUACACUAAACGAUUUUAAUAAUAUCAACAUAUUGAUUGAUAAAAAUGUAUGUGUGUAUAAACAAAAUUUACAACCGUUACUGCCAUUAUUUUCUAGUUUUAGUGUGGCCAAUACAAAUUUUAAACAGCUCAACACUUAUUCACAAUUCUUUAUUACAAGCAUCUUCUUUUCUUAUUUAAAAAAUAUAAAAAAAAAAAUGAACACUAAUAAAUACAUAAAUUUUGAAUUGCUAUUAUUAUAUGAUGUUGUGUAUAAAAUUGUUACAAAUCAUUAUAAAAAAAACAAUGCUACUAUGAUUGACUAUAACAUGGGUACUUAUAAUAGUUAUGUACCUCUAAAUAAUAAAAAAAAAUAUAUGAAGGAAAGGAAAACAGGUGAUGGUGGUAGUGGUCAUGAUGGUGGUAGUGGUCAUGAUGGUGGUAGUGGUCACGAUGGUGGUAGUGGUCACGAUGGUGGUUAUGUUUUGCCAUUUAAAAAAACAAAAAUAAAACAUGAUAAUGGUAAUAAUAAACAAAAUAAUAUUAUUAAUAAUUAUACAUUAAUAAACAAUGAGGAAAAGUAUCUUUUAAAAAACCAAACAAGUGGACAGUGCAUACUUGAUAAUUAUACUAAAAACGGAAGUAUGAGCAAAAAUAUGAGCCAAAGUAUGAGCAAAAAUAUGAUCAGCAAUAUAACAAAUGAAUGCAUUACAUACACAAUGCAUAAAGAAGAGUAUAACAACACAAACAAGUAUAGCCAUAACGGUUUAUUAUACAAAAAUAAUAAAAAAGAUAUACUACUAAAUAAUAAUAAUAAUAAUAAUAAUAAUUAUAAUCAUGUCAAUAUGAGUGAAAAAGAUAAACGUUUUUUAAAAAAAUUAAAAAAAUAUAUUGAAUAUUUUAAAUAUGGAAACACUAGGACUGGUCAUAAUACAAACAAAACGGACAAAAUGAGAAAAUAUUUUUUAAAUGUGUCAAGAAUAAAUAAAAUAUAUCAACAUUAUAUUCUUACAAAAGAUUUUAACAAGUUGGAUGAAAUAAUUUUAAACAGUUAUAAUACUCAUGUUACUAAAAAUGAUUAUUAUUGGCAUAGUGACAGUAAAAAUAUAACCAACAACAGUGUAGAUUAUAAUUAUUACAACAAAUAUAAAAAAAAUUUAGAUAAAAUAAAUACAUGUGUUUUAUUACGAUUUGCUCAAAAGUUACCAUGUAAACAUGAAGAAGAUAUAACACAUUUUAUUUAUAGUAAUAAAAAAAAAAAAUAUAAUGAUUAUAAAGUAAAAGAUUUAUGUAAAAUUUAUAUAAAACAUUAUGAAAAUGUUAAUAAACAAAAAGUGAAUUUUGAUAACACAUUAUUUAUCUAUUCAAAUCAAAAUAAUAUAUUAUUUAUGGAUAAUAAUGUAAAAAAUAUAUUACAUAUGUUACAAGAUCAAUAUACAAAAAAGUUAAUUCGUAAAAAAUAUAAUUUAUUAAACAGAAGUCAAUUAAAAGGAAGAUAUUGUAUUAUUAAAAAUGUUAAAAAUAUGUUACGACAUUAUCAACAGGAUCCUAAUUUGUUUUAUAUUGGUCGCGAUAUGUAUGAUUAUAGUGUACUUCUAGCACCAUCUAUUUCUGCUGCGAAUAAUAAUAUUCAUAAUAAUCUGACUAUUAAUAAUAAUAAUAAUAAUUAUUUAAGUCGUUCAUUUGGAUAUAAUAAUUAUAAUUUUAAUUUACAAGGAAGAGAAUAUUCUAAUUUUACUGAUGGAAAUUUAUAUCAUUAUCUUAAUGAACAUUCUAAUGAUACAUAUCAUGAUCGUACAUUUGUAAACAUUAUUAAUGAUAUAAAUGCUAAUCUUAGUUUUAAUCUUACUCAGACUGCUCAAACUGGUCGUAAUAAUAAUAGUAAUAUUAUUAGAAAUAAUAACAGAGAUAAUAUCCAUAAUAACAUUAAUAACAGUAAUAACAUUAAUAACAUUAAUAACAUUAAUAACAUUAAUAACAUUAAUAACAUUAAUAACAUUAAUAACAGUAAUAACAUUAAUAACACUAAUAAUAAUAAUAAUAGAAGAUUCGAUCAUUUAUUAGAUUUAUAUCCUUACGAUUUAACAUAUGAAGAUGUUACUGAUCAACAGAUAGAAAAUAUCAGUGAACAAUCUUCUCCAUCUACUAGUGAUAUCUCAGCUACAUAUUCAUAUACAGUAGUAGAUAGAGAUACGGAUGAGGAUGAUGAUGAAGAAUAUGAGUAUGAGGAAUAUGAUGAUUCGGAUGAUGAUUAUUCUGUUGAUGAUUAUUAUGAUAAUAUUUAUAAUAGCAAUAAUAUAAAUACUAGGAAUAGAUAUACUUCUAGUAAUAGUAUUAGACGCUCGAGAAAUUAUACAACUGUACCAGGAAGAAGAACAGCAAAUAGGAGAAGAAGAACAACAACAACAAAUAGAAGAAGAACAAGAACAAGAACAAAAACAAGAACAACAACAAAUAGGAGAAGAAGAACAACGGCAG
ensembl:lncRNA